rnacentral:rRNA from 1 species
UACGAAGGGGGGCUAGCGUUGUUCGGAUUUACUGGGCGUAAAGCGCACGUAGGCGGAUCGAUCAGUCAGGGGUGAAAUCCCAGAGCUCAACUCUGGAACUGCCUUUUGAUACUGUCGAUCUGGAGUAUGGAAGAGGUGAGUGGAAUUCCGAGUGUAGAGGUGAAAUUCGUAGAUAUUCGGAGGAACACCAGUGGCGAAGGCGGCUCACUGGUCCAUUACUGACGCUGAGGUGCGAAAGCGUGGGGGAGCAAACAGG